rnacentral:rRNA from 1 species
AAUGGCUGCAGUAAUUUGACUGUACAAAGGUAGCAUAAUCAUUAGUUUUUUAAUUAAAAGCUUGUAUGAAAGGUUGGACGAAAUAAAAUCUGUCUCUUUUUAAUAUAAUUAGAAUUUAAUUUUUAAGUUAAAAAGCUUAAAUUUAUAUAAAAGACGAGAAGACCCUAUAGAGUUUUAUAAUUUUAAUUAAUUAGUUAAUUUAGAUUUAUUUAUUUUAUUUUUUUAUAAAUUAUUUUAUUGGGGUAAUAGAAAGAUUAAAAUAAUUCUUUUUUAAAAAAAUCAUUAAUUUAUGAAAGUUUUAUGAUCCAUUAAAUUUUGAGUAUAAGAUUAAAUUACCUUAGGGAUAACAGCGUAAUUUUUUUUAAGAGUUCAUAUCGAUAAAAAAGUUUGCGACCUCGAUGUUGGAUUAAAGAUUAAUUUAGGUGUAGAAGUUUAAAUUUUUGGUCUGUUCGACCAUUGAAUCUUUACAUGAUCUGAGUUCAAACCGGUGUAAGCCAGGUUGGUUUCUAUCUUUAUAAAAUUUUUAUAUUUUAGUACGAAAGGACCAAAUAUAUUAUAUAUAAAUAUUUAAAUUAUUGAAUAU